GGACUACACGGGUAUCUAAUCCCGUUUGCUCCCCUGGCUUUCGUGUCUCAGCGUCGGCACAACCCCAGCGACCUGUUUUCACCUUCGGCGUUCCAAGCGAUAUCUACGCAUUUCACCGCUCCACCGCUUGUUCCAGUCGCCCCUAGUUGGCCCAAGAUCGCCAGUAUACCCAGCCGUUCCACGGGUGAGCCGUGGGAUUUCACAAGGUACUUAACGACCCGCCUACACACGCUUUAAGCCCAGUGAUUCCGCCUAACGCUUGAGGCCUCUGUCUUACCGCGGCGGCUGGCAC
rnacentral:rRNA from 1 species